rnacentral:rRNA from 1 species
GACGUAGGGCGCGAGCGUUGUCCGGAUUUAUUGGGCGUAAAGAGCUCGUAGGCGGCUCGUUGCGUCAGCUGUGAAAACCCGCAGCUCAACUGUGGGCUUGCAGCUGAUACGGGCGGGCUAGAAUUCGGUAGGGGAGACUGGAAUUCCUGGUGUAGCGGUGAAGUGCGCAGAUAUCAGGAGGAACACCGGUGGCGAAGGCGGGUCUCUGGGCCGAUAUUGACGCUGAGGAGCGAAAGCGUGGGGAGCGAACAGG